rnacentral:rRNA from 1 species
GAUGAACGCUGGCGGCGUGCCUAAUACAUGCAAGUCGAGCGAACAGAUAAGGAGCUUGCUCCUUUGAAGUUAGCGGCGGAAGGGUGAGUAACACGUGGGUAACCUACCUAUAAGACUGGGAUAACUUCGGGAAACCGGAGCUAAUACCGGAUAACAUUUAGAACCGCAUGGUUCUAAAGUGAAAGAUGGUUUUGCUAUCACUUAUAGAUGGACCCGCGCCGUAUUAGCUAGUUGGUAAGGUAACGGCUUACCAAGGCGACGAUACGUAGCCGACCUGAGAGGAUGAUCGGCCACACUGGAACUGAGACACGGUCCAGACUCCUACGGGAGGCAGCAGUAGGGAAUCUUCCGCAAUGGGCGAAAGCCUGACGGAGCAACGCCGCGUGAGUGAUGAAGGGUUUCGGCUCGUAAAACUCUGUUAUUAGGGAAGAACAAAUGUGUAAGUAACUGUGCACAUCUUGACGGUACCUAAUCAGAAAGCCACGGCUAACUACGUG